rnacentral:rRNA from 1 species
UGGGGAAUUUUGCGCAAUGGGCGAAAGCCUGACGCAGCAACGCCGCGUGGAGGAUGAAGGUCUUUGGAUUGUAAACUCCUGUCAGCAGGGAAAAAGCAACUCGGCCUCAUACGCCGGGGAGUUGAUUGUACCUGCAGAGGAAGCCCCGGCUAACUCUGUGCCAGCAGCCGCGGUAAUACAGAGGGGGCAAGCGUUAUUCGGAAUUAUUGGGCGUAAAGGGCGCGUAGGCGGCUUCGCAAGUGGAAGGUGAAAUCCCUCGGCUUAACCGAGGAACUGCCCUCCAAACUGCGUUGCUUGAGGCCGGGAGAGGUGAGUGGAAUUCCCAGUGUAGCGGUGAAAUGCGUAGAUAUUGGGAGGAACACCAGUGGCGAAGGCGGCUCACUGGACCGGUUCUGACGCUGAGGCGCGAAAGCGUGGGGAGCAAACGGGAUUAGAUACCCCUGUAGUCC